AAUAGAUACCCUGGUAGUCCACGCCGUAAACGAUGAGUGCUAAGUGUUAGAGGGUUUCCGCCCUUUAGUGCUGCAGCUAACGCAUUAAGCACUCCGCCUGGGGAGUACGGUCGCAAGACUGAAACUCAAAGGAAUUGACGGGGGCCCGCACAAGCGGUGGAGCAUGUGGUUUAAUUCGAAGCAACGCGAAGAACCUUACCAGGUCUUGACAUCCUCUGACAACUCUAGAGAUAGAGCGUUCCCCUUCGGGGGACAGAGUGACAGGUGGUGCAUGGUUGUCGUCAGCUCGUGUCGUGAGAUGUUGGGUUAAGUCCCGCAACGAGCGCAACCCUUGAUCUUAGUUGCCAGCAUUCAGUUGGGCACUCUAAGGUGACUGCCGGUGACAAACCGGAGGAAGGUGGGGAUGACGUCAAAUCAUCAUGCCCCUUAUGACCUGGGCUACACACGUGCUACAAUGGAUGGUACAAAGGGCUGCAAGACCGCGAGGUCAAGCCAAUCCCAUAAAACCAUUCUCAGUUCGGAUUGUAC
rnacentral:rRNA from 1 species